AGGGUUCGAUUAUGGCUCAGGAUGAACGCUGGCGGCGUGCUUAACACAUGCAAGUCGAACGAUUAACCCAUCUUCGGAUGGUUAUAAAGUGGCGAACGGGUGAGUAACACGUGACCAACCUGCCUUUCACAUUGGGAUAACUUAGAGAAAUCUAAGCUAAUACCAAAUACUCUUCUUGGAUCGCAUGAUCCAAGAAGGAAAGCUCCGGCGGUGAAAGAUGGGGUCGCGGCCCAUUAGGUAGUUGGUGGGGUAGAGGCCUACCAAGCCAAUGAUGGGUAGCCGGGUUGAGAGACCGACCGGCCACAUUGGGACUGAGAUACGGCCCAG
rnacentral:rRNA from 1 species